rnacentral:rRNA from 1 species
CUCCUACGGGAGGCAGCAGUGGGGAAUAUUGCACAAUGGGCGCAAGCCUGAUGCAGCCAUGCCGCGUGUAUGAAGAAGGCCUUCGGGUUGUAAAGUACUUUCAGUCGUGAGGAAGGUUCAUACGUUAAUAGCGUAUGGAUUUGACGUUAGCGACAGAAGAAGCACCGGCUAACUCCGUGCCAGCAGCCGCGGUAAUACGGAGGGUGCGAGCGUUAAUCGGAAUUACUGGGCGUAAAGCGCAUGCAGGUGGUUCGUUAAGUCAGAUGUGAAAGCCCGGGGCUCAACCUCGGAACUGCAUUUGAAACUGGCGGACUAGAGUACUGUAGAGGGGGGUAGAAUUUCAGGUGUAGCGGUGAAAUGCGUAGAGAUCUGAAGGAAUACCAGUGGCGAAGGCGGCCCCCUGGACAGAUACUGACACUCAGAUGCGAAAGCGUGGGGAGCAAACAGGAUUAGAUACCCUGGUAGUCCACGCCGUAAACGAUGUCUACUUGGAGGUUGUGGCCUUGAGCCGUGGCUUUCGGAGCUAACGCGUUAAGUAGACCGCCUGGGGAGUACGGUCGCAAGAUUAAAACUCAAAUGAAUUGACGGGGGCCCGCACAAGCGGUGGAGCAUGUGGUUUAAUUCGAUGCAACGCGAAGAACCUUACCUACUCUUGACAUCCAGAGAAGCCAGUAGAGAUACAGGCGUGCCUUCGGGAGCUCUGAGACAGGUGCUGCAUGGCUGUCGUC